GACGAACGCUGGCGGCGUGCUUAACACAUGCAAGUCGAACGGAAAGGCCCUGCUUUUGUGGGGUGCUCGAGUGGCGAACGGGUGAGUAACACGUGAGUAACCUGCCCUUGACUUUGGGAUAACUUCAGGAAACUGGGGCUAAUACCGGAUAGGAGCUCCUGCUGCAUGGUGGGGGUUGGAAAGUUUCGGCGGUUGGGGAUGGACUCGCGGCUUAUCAGCUUGUUGGUGGGGUAGUGGCUUACCAAGGCUUUGACGGGUAGCCGGCCUGAGAGGGUGACCGGCCACAUUGGGACUGAGAUAAGGCCCAGACUCCUCCGGGAGGCAGCAGUGGGGAAUAUUGCACAAUGGGAGGAAGCCUGAUGCAGCAACGCCGCGUGCGGGAUGACGGCCUUCGGGUUGUGAACCGCAUUCGCCUGUGACGAAGCGUGAGUGACGGUAAUGGGUAAAGAAGCACCGGCUAACUACGUG
rnacentral:rRNA from 1 species